GGUGUGCAGGCCCCCUGCACUGAUCCUGAGUGGCCACCUAGACCAGGGUGUCCAGAGGCUCGACUAUAGGGUUCCUUCUUCUCCACCAUGGCACUUCAGGCUCCCUUGGCACUUCUCUUUUGGGAAAAUAAAUUGCUUCUGGAUUAGACAUCUUUCUGUUGCUGUUGCUUGAGACAGGGUCUCACUCUGUCACCCAGGCUGGAGUGCAAUGGCACAAUCAUGAUUCACUGCAGCCUCGACUUACUGGACUCAAGUGAUCUUCCCGCCGCAGCCCCCGAGGUAGCUGGGACUACAGGGUCUUACUCUGUCACCCAGGCUGGAGUGCAGUGGCAUAAUCUUGGCUCACUGCAGCCCCAACAUCCCCGGCUCAAGCAAUCCUCCCGCCUCAGCCUCCUAAGUAGCUGGGACCACAGAAACCCAAACUGCAGAACAUGUUCAGUGAAGCAACCAGAGCUAAAUCAUUUGAAAUGCAUUAGCCAGUACUCGCCGCAAAUUAAUUUAACACCAGUCACAUGUGUCUGGGUGAUUUUCCCCUGAAAGGUGGCGUGAGUUGAUUGGACCCCAGGAGGAACGCUGCGCUGAAUGGCUCAAGAUUUACUACUAACCACACACUGCACAGAGAAGGCUGCGUGUUACCAAGGCCUCCAUGGAAUUAGGGGGAACUGCCAACAAACCAGUGCAGAGCCUGCAAAUGUCAGAUAGAAGG
rnacentral:lncRNA from 10 species